rfam:Strongylocentrotus purpuratus Contig2463_fixed, whole genome shotgun sequence.
CCAACAGUCCUUUUCAGGACUACACACACACACAUACCCAAGAAAG